rnacentral:rRNA from 1 species
CCCUAAAGGCAGAGUAGGUUGAACUAGGGUAGGGGACGUGAUAACGCUGGGCUUUGCCUUUUUACGGAAACACAGAAACUGCACGAUCCCUGUGCCCACGCCGCAUACGUCCUACGGGAGAAAGCAGGGGACCUUCGGGCCUUGCGCUAUCAGAUGAGCCUAGGUCGGAUUAGCUAGUUGGUGGGGUAAUGGCUCACCAAGGCGACGAUCCGUAACUGGUCUGAGAGGAUGAUCAGUCACACUGGAACUGAGACACGGUCCAGACUCCUACGGGAGGCAGCAGUGGGGAAUAUUGGACAAUGGGCGAAAGCCUGAUCCAGCCAUGCCNCNUGUGUNAAGAAGGUCUUCGGAUUGUAAAGCACUUUAAGUUGGGAGGAAGGGCAGUAAAUUAAUACNUUUGCUGUUUUGACGUUACCGACAGAAUAAGCACCCGGCUAACUCUGUGCCAGCAGCCGCGGUAAUACAGAGGGUGCAAGCGUNAUCGNANUACUGGGCCGUAAGCGCGCGUAGGUGGUUCGUNAAUUGGAUGUGAAUCCCCGGGCUCANCNUGCAAUUUGAUCCCGACACCUCCCUGGUUCGCCCAAAAUUUAAAGGUGGCGCACGGGUUUUUUUAUCGAGCCCAGUUUCACUAUAAGACGCCAUGAUCCCGUGACGGAUGCGAGCUCGCUCGUUGUCAGAACUCAGCACUCCUCGCUGAUGGCUCCAUGCAUCCCGCGUAACG